rnacentral:rRNA from 1 species
UACGUAGGCAGCAAGCGUUGUUCGGAGUUACUGGGCGUAAAGGGUGCGUAGGUGGCUCUAUAAGUAUGGUGUGAAAUCUCCCGGCUUAACUGGGAGGGUGCGCCGUAGACUGUGGGGCUAGAGUGUGGGAGAGGAAAGUGGAAUUCCUGGUGUAGCGGUGAAAUGCGUAGAUAUCAGGAGGAACACCGGUGGUGUAAACGGCUUUCUGGACCAUGACUGACACUGAGGCACGAAAGCGUGGGUAGCAAACAGG